rnacentral:rRNA from 1 species
GAUGAACGCUGGCGGCGUGCCUAAUACAUGCAAGUCGAGCGAACAGACGAGGAGCUUGCUCCUCUGACGUUAGCGGCGGACGGGUGAGUAACACGUGGAUAACCUACCUAUAAGACUGGGAUAACUUCGGGAAACCGGAGCUAAUACCGGAUAACAUGUUGAACCGCAUGGUUCAACAGUGAAAGACGGUCUUGCUGUCACUUAUAGAUGGAUCCGCGCCGCAUUAGCUAGUUGGUAAGGUAACGGCUUACCAAGGCAACGAUGCGUAGCCGACCUGAGAGGGUGAUCGGCCACACUGGAACUGAGACACGGUCCAGACUCCUACGGGAGGCAGCAGUAGGGAAUCUUCCGCAAUGGGCGAAAGCCUGACGGAGCAACGCCGCGUGAGUGUAGAAGGUCUUCGGAUCGUAAAACUCUGUUAUUAGGGAAGAACAAAUGUGUAAGUAACUAUGCACGUCUUGACGGUACCUAAUCAGAAAGCCACGGCUAACUACGUG